UACGGGGGGGGCAAGCGUUGUUCGGAAUUACUGGGCGUAAAGGGCUCGUAGGUGGCCAACUAAGUCGGACGUGAAAUCCCUCAGCUUAACUGGGGAACUGCGUCCGAUACUGGAUGGCUUGAGUUUGGGAGAGGGAUGCGGAAUUCCAGGUGUAGCGGUGAAAUGCGUAGAUAUCUGGAGGAACACCGGUGGCGAAGGCGGCAUCCUGGACCAACACUGACACUGAGGAGCGAAAGCCAGGGGAGACAAACGGG
rnacentral:rRNA from 1 species